rnacentral:misc_RNA from 1 species
AAAACCUGGGCAUUGUAACUAUACCUUACUUUAUGCUAGUACAUACUUGUAUAUACAAGCUCGUACGUCAAGUCCUACAAGUACUUAAUUGAAAAAAAGUUAGUUAAUUAGCAUAUCAGCAGGCCUAUCGUACAACCUUCUGCAUCAGAAUAUGGGUUUAAUGUAAAAGUAUUUGUAUGUACGUCAGUAAUACGAUAUGACUGUAUUUAAGUUUAUUUAUCUGUGAUAUAAAAGAAUGUGUCUUGUUUUAUGUUCAUAAGACCGUUUGUAGAACUGUUUCUUACACUGUAACAAUAACUGUUGUGUUCAUAAUAAACGGUUUCCAUAU